GCUUCCACGUGUCUACUCUUUCUUCUAUAUUGACCAUUUCACCCUUCCUUCUCCUAGCAAUUUCAUUCGACCAGUUUUAAUAACAUUUCAGUCUCAUUCUUUUUCUGUUGAAUUUUGAGUGCCUUAUCAUAUUAGAUCCAUUCAUACACCUCUCCAUAGUACGAUUCUGCAAAUAUAUAUCAUCAUCUCUUUGUUUCUCCAACAGAUUCUUAUCGAUGUGCACGGAUUUUGAUGCUUUGUUAAGAAAUAUAUCUAUGGUGGAACGUUAAUCCCAGCCAGUCAAUUUCGAAAUAUACUCAAAUGGAUGGCUUGGGUUUAUCAGGUGCAUUCUUUCCAUUCAAGAAAGAGUCAUUUGCCAAUUUAGCUAUCAAGUUGUUCAUCUUGUAUCUUUCUCUCCAUUGUUGUUGUGGUGGUGGAAGUGUUAGCGAUAUCCAGUUAGGUUUCUCCUGACAAGGAAGAUAACUGUUGUAAUGCAUCUCUCUUAUGGAGGUUCAUGAGUCAUGAUGUAUAUUUGACCUGUCUAGGUUUUUCUUUGUGAUACACAUAAUGUAGUAUGAACUUCAUUAAUUCCAUUUUGGAAAUGUCUUUCAUCCUAAGGUACGUUAUAUACAUAUAUUAUUUUGCCUGCUUGUAGGAGGGAAGGCCAUGUGAAUCGUUUGAAGCAGAGUGGAACAGCUAAUAUAUUAAAUUUCAGUCACGAUAUUAGUUUGGUAGUUGCUGGGAGAUGGGUAAACGCAAGGGUUGUGGGAAACUGGGAAGAAUGGUGAGGAACAGGCCUGGUAGUGCUUACCAGUCUUCUCUUCUUCAGUCCCCUGUUGUUUCUGUUUGGGAUUGUAUUGUGCGCAAAAUGAGGUAUUCCUAUAUACCUGAGUGGGUGUAGCUGCAGUUUUAGUAUUUUGGUUUCAUUACAGUUUUCAUAUUUGGAAUCAUUAGUUCUUUGCUAUAGUAUUAAUAACAAAGUAUAGAAGGAAACGGAAAUAAAUAGUUGUAGAGAUGGAAUGUGCUAAAGCUUCACCUGCUGUUAGAAAAGGGAACAAGAAGCAAGUAAAGGAUGAGUUGGAUCGGAUUAAACAGGCUGAGAAAAAAAAGAGGCGCUUAGAGAAAGCCUUGGCUACUUCAGCUGCCAUCCGCUCUGAAUUGGAAAAGAAGAAACAGAAAAAGAUAGAAGAACAGCAAAAGCUUGAUGAAGAGGGUGCCGCAAUCGCCGAGGCAGUUGCUCUGCAUGUCCUAGUAGGUGAGGACUCAGAUGAUUCAUGUAAGCUUUUGCUGGAGAAGGAUGAAGAAUCAAACCCAUGGGAUAUUGGUAGCAAUUUUGAUUUUUUUAUGGGCGGAUAUAGAGCCAUGCUUCCUCAUCAAGAACUCUCAAAAUAUUCAGUUGAAGGAACACAGUGGGUGUCUGGUCCCAACGGGUAUGGAUGCAUGUGUGAGCAGGAAAAUAGCACGUGGAUGGUCUCUUCUGUACCUUUUUCAGGGAAUGUUCAACAUCAAUGGUUUGAUGUGGAGAAUUGGGAGGUUGCCAGACUUUCUGCUGGACUUCUUGCAGCACAAGCUGUCUCAUCACUUCAGAUUGCAGAAGAUGCUUCAAUGGACUCAUAUGUCUUCAGUCGGAUGCUGAGAGAGUGAACUGUGGAGGUCUAACGUCUAUCAUCCAGUUGCUGCCCUAGCAUCUAUUCCUGGGGUUGGUUCAUCCAUGAUUAUAACGAAGGGAUUGGCAACAAGCUCAACUGCAAUAUUGCAGUCUUCCCGAGGCAAUCGAAGCCAAGCGUAAUAUUGCAGGGAUUCAUUUACUGUCACAUGUGGUGAAUGAAUGUCAGUUUGCUCACGGUAUCCUGCUACUCGAGCAAAUGUUUCUUGCUCGUUGGGGUAUCCUGAUAUAGUGAUGCUUCCCUCAAUGUAUCCGCCAGUUUUCCUACAAGCUAAGACAUCCAUUAGGGUCGUCUUACCCGCUCCAGUAACACCAAUCAGAGCUGUCAAAACUCCAGGCCUACACCUUUCAAGAGUUCAAGCCAAUCCUCAAUAAUUCCUUGAGCUUUCAUUUUCUGGGGUCACAACAUUACUUUUAUUUUGUGCACCAUAGAAACUUAAAUAGCAAAAAGAGUUUAGCUUUUAUCAUCUGUAGCAUUGGCUCAAUAUUACUUGCGAACAUGUAUAUUAUUUUUGUAAAA